UCCCACUCCAUUUUCUCCACUUAAACUCCCUUUCGCUUUUUAAUCUUUUUAAAAUGGAGUGUAUUUUUUUAUUUAUUUAAAUGUAAUAUACUAUUGUUUUUUCACAUCAUUAUGCAUUUGUUGUGUAAAUUCUGAUAUCUGGAAUGUGAUGAGAUAUGGGGCCCGGCCAAUACCCAUUUGCUAUCUGGGUAUCGGGUUUGUCCAUUUUUCCCACUCUCAAAUCUUGAUUGGUAAGAAACACUGAAAACAAUUGAGGACACUGUGCCUCAGCUGUAACAACCCCCAGAGACUCUCUUCUGUUCGCUUUUGGGUUUCUUCAAAGGAGUUUUGGUCUGUUGAAAUGUGUAACUAUCAACCUUGGGAAGAGGAUUCACUUCGGAGUGAAUAUUAUGUACAAAGUACUGCAGAAGGCGUAGAUGUAGCGGAGACAAGGUGGGGAGCCCGGCUGGCAAUGUUGGAAGCAAGGGUAACUCGAGUGGAGGCUAGGGUGGAAAGACUUGAGGCAAAGAUGCUUCAUCUGCAGAAGGGAAUGCGUGUUGUUUGCGCGCUGUUUCUGGUUACUCUCAUGUAUGCAAUAUUCAAGUAAAUGUCAUUGUCAGGGAUGAUCCGAUCAUUAGUUUUCAGUUGUAUGCUCUAUAUUUCUGUGAGACAUAUAUAGUUAUGCAUAUGCUGAUUCUCUGAUCUGUUGAGUUUUCUUGCAAGUAAAUGGUAGGUUUGGAAAAUGGUUUGUUUUUUUAUUUUCCUUUUUUUCCCUCUUAUGAUGCUGUAGAACUACAUUUUAGCCAAGCAAAAACAGACCAAAGGUCCCUGAAUCAAUUUGUACAUUGAAUUCUACUGUCAUGAUCUGUCAAUCUGUGUAUCAAGAUUUCACUGUUAGUUGUUAAUUAGUCUGUUUAUCAAGCUAAUGAAUUUUGCCAGAGUAUAGUCAUAAUUGUGCCUCUGAGUAAUGAAAUUUUAUGCCUGAGUAUACAUUAUGGUGCUAAAGCAGGUGCAAUGUUUGUAGUUCCAGAUCAAGUAUAUCACAGGUUUAACUCAACCUACUUAACCAAAUUUACCAUUCAUCGUCGGUGACUACAAGCAUCACGCAAGUGCUGCAAACCAGUGAUUCCUGUUUACCAAUUUGAUCUAUCAUCUUUGCUAUCAGAACAUUGGAAAUGUGUGGGGUUUCAUCACUGGAGUCUGGAGGUUACAAGUUACAAGUCCGUCAAGACUUGCAGCAUUGAUAGUUUGCCAUUUCUUUUAAUUACAUAUAUGAGAGAGAGAGAGAGAGAGAGAGAGAGAGAGAGAGAGAGAGAGAGAGAGAGAGAGAGAGAGAACUUCCACUAAUUUAGCAAGAUGGUCUGAACUACAAUAAAAAUCAUAGCAUUCCAAACACAUAUGCCAUGUCAAGGGGGUGUCCUAUUACACAUCAAUUCAACUCUCAAUUGUCUCAUUUUCAGAUUCACUCUCGACCGUUUCACUAGCUGCCAUCCAAUCUGAUCUUGAUGCUCUAAUGUUCAUUAAUUCUUUUGCAUGUUGCUCAUCUUGUGCUGGAUCUUGCAUCCUUGAAUUUGCUAAGGCCCAAUCUUUCAAGCAAAUUAAUGCUUCUAUUGUAUUUGGUCCACUUGUCAGAUAAAACUUUACCACCUGCACUAAAACAUGAUCCUGAUGCUACAGUAAAGCUGGAAUAGUUAGAAAGUCACGAGCCAUAAGAGAAACAAUAGGAUAUAAUGAUUGAUUUUUUUUCCACCAACCCAAAACACUAAAUUGGUUAUCGUCAGCAACAUCUAUUGUUGGUAAAUCAAGGUAAACCUGUAACUCAGAUUUGGUGGUGGAAGAAGAUGAAGAUGAUAGCUUUGCCCUUUUCAAACAUUGCAUAGAGAAAUCUUGCAUAAUAGGUGUUGUGCGGAAGCGUCAACCAACUGUGAGUGAAAAAUAAACAACUACUGGCAGGAAAAACAAAAUUGAACAGAAAAUUACAACAAGAAGAACACCAAGAUUUAUACUGGUUCGGCAAUUGCCUACAUCCAGUUUGGAGACGACGAAGUAUUCCUCUAUAAUCAAUGGGGAUAUACAAUAGUGUUUACCACUCAAUUUCCCAAAGACCCAAAUACACCCAACCUCACACACUCACAAAGGAAGAGAAAACAAUGAUACAAAGCAAAGAACAACUAUAGAGAAUUUGUUUCUCUCUUUGGCAAAAUGCCUUUCUUGCUAUUUUUCUCUUCUACUCAACACUUAGUUGGAUUCUUCAAAUGAAACCAUUUGCUUCCAAUUUAUAGCCAAAGAAAGUGGCUUCUCAAAGAAGCCAAAGGUUAGGCCAAAGGAAGUGGCUUCUCAAAGAAGUUAUAGCCAAAAGGAAGUGGCUUCUCAAAGAAGCCAAAGGUUAGGCCAAAGGAAGUGGCUUCUCAAAGAAGCCAAAGGUUAGGCCAAAGGAAGUGGCUUCUCAAAGAAGCCAAAGGUUAGGCAAGUCAACAAUAGCCUACCACCAUUUGUGAAAGCUAAUUAAUGCAUUCACAUUGCAACUUGUCAAUAGCCAUCACUUUUGACUAUUGGUUUGAGGCAAUAAUCAACACUUGUUGUGCGGAAGCGUCAACCAACUGUGAGUGAAAAAUAAACAACUACUGGCAGGAGAAAAAAAAAAAUUGAACAGAAAAUUACAACAAGAAGAACACCAAGAUUUAUACUGGUUCGGCAAUUGCCUACAUCCAGUUUGGAGACGACGGAGUAUUCCACUAUAAUCAAUGGGGAUAUACAAUAGUGUUUACCACUCAAUUUCCCAAAGACCCAAAUACACCCAACCUCACACACUCACAAAGGAAGAGAAAACAACGAUACAAAGCAAAGAACAACUAGAGAGAAUUUGUUUCCCUCUUUGGCAAAAUGCCUUUCUUGCUAUUUUUCUCUUCUACUCAACACUUGGUUGGAUUCUUCAAAUGAAACCAUUUGCUUCCAAUUUAUAGCCAAAGGAAGUGGCUUCUCAAAGAAGCCAAAGGUUAGGCAAGUCAACAAUAGCCUACCACCAUUUGUGAAAGCUAAUUAAUGCAUUCACAUUGCAAC